AAAGCGUGCGCAGGCGGUUAUAUAAGACAGAUGUGAAAUCCCCGGGCUCAACCUGGGAACUGCAUUUGUGACUGUAUAGCUGGAGUGCGGCAGAGGGGGAUGGAAUUCCGCGUGUAGCAGUGAAAUGCGUAGAUAUGCGGAGGAACACCGAUAGCGAAGGCAAUCCCCUGGGCCUGCACUGACGCUCAUGCACGAAAGCGUGGGGAGCAAACAGGAUUAGAUACCCCGGU
rnacentral:rRNA from 1 species